rnacentral:tRNA from 1 species
GCGGACGUGGCGGAACGGUAGACGCUGGAGACUUAAAAUUUCCUGGGGUAACCCGUGCAGGUUCGACUCCUGCCGUCCGCACCA